AGCGGACGAUGGGAGCUUGCUCCCUGAAGUCAGCGGCGGACGGGUGAGUAACACGUGGGCAACCUGCCUGUAAGACUGGGAUAACUUCGGGAAACCGGAGCUAAUACCGGAUAACACCGAGGACCUCAUGGUCCUUGGUUGAAAGAUGGCUUCGGCUAUCACUUACAGAUGGGCCCGCGGCGCAUUAGCUAGUUGGUGAGGUAACGGCUCACCAAGGCGACGAUGCGUAGCCGACCUGAGAGGGUGAUCGGCCACACUGGGACUGAGACACGGCCCAGACUCCUACGGGAGGCAGCAGUAGGGAAUCUUCCGCAAUGGACGAAAGUCUGACGGAGCAACGCCGCGUGAGCGAUGAAGGCCUUCGGGUCGUAAAGCUCUGUUGUUAGGGAAGAACAAGUACCGUUCGAAUAGGGCGGUACCUUGACGGUACCUAACCAGAAAGCCACGGCUAACUACGUGCCAGCAGCCGCGGUAAUACGUAGGUGGCAAGCGUUG
rnacentral:rRNA from 1 species